rnacentral:tRNA from 4 species
GGGGAUGUAGCUCAAUGGUAGAGCCUCUGUCUUCCAAACAGAUUACGCGGGUUCGAUUCCCGUCAUCCCCUCCA